rnacentral:rRNA from 1 species
CCCGCUGAACUUAAGCAUAUCAAUAAGCGGAGGAAGAGAAACCAACAGGGAUUGCCUCAGUAACGGCGAGUGAAGCGGCAACAGCUCAAAUUUGAAAUCUGGCCUCAUGGUCCGAGUUGUAAUUUGUAGAGGAUGCUUCGAGCAUGGUCCGGUCUAAGUUCCUUGGAACAGGACGUCACAGAGGGUGAGAAUCCCGUAUGCGACUGGGUGCCUAAGCUCAUGUGAAGCUCCUUCAACGAGUCGAGUUGUUUGGGAAUGCAGCUCAAAAUGGGUGGUAAAUUUCAUCUAAAGCUAAAUACUGGCCAGAGACCGAUAGCGCACAAGUAGAGUGAUCGAAAGAUGAAAAGCACUUUGGAAAGAGAGUUAAACAGUACGUGAAAUUGUUGAAAGGGAAGCGCUUGCAACCAGACUUGCAUGCAGUUGAUCAUCCGAUGUUCUCACCGGUGCACUCGAUUGUAUACAGGCCAGCAUCGGUUUUGGUGGCUAGAUAAAGGCCUUGGGAAUGUAGGUCCCAUUUGGGAGUGUUAUAGCCCUUGGUGCAAUGUAGCCUACCGGGACCGAGGACCGCGCUUCGGCUAGGAUGCUGGCGUAAUGGUUGUAAGCGACCCGUCUUGAAACACGG